CUUUGACAAGUACGUAUAUAAAGACGAAGGACGCAAAGCCCUCUUCAUCAGAACCAAUUCAGCUGAAGAGCGCAGAACAACUACUGAAACACAUUCCUUGAAAAAAACAAACCGACAUUUACUUCAUCAUGAACAAGGGAAUUAUUCUUAUGAUGUUUGUCUUCGUCAUCAUCUGCGUAACGACUACGAUGGCCGGAGUGCAGCCGUUCGCCAAGUUUGCUGCCGUUAACUACCAUCACGCUCGAGUCGUUCGUGAGGCUAGCCCACAAAGAUUCCCCGGAUGGCUUUUUGGUUAACUUGUUGGACAAGUACAUUAGCCUCUAUUUAUGCCGUUGGAAGAAAUAUCAACUUAUGCUAACCAGAUGAUAUGAAGACGUAUUUAAAACACCCCAUCGUUGAUCGUACCAGCGGUGUUCUUUCUCAAAUUUAUUUUUCACCUGUAACACUCGUAUCGUUUUUUUUUUGUAACAAAUAUACUUAUGUGCCAAGAA